rnacentral:rRNA from 1 species
GGCUCAGGACGAACGCUAGCGACGUGCCUAAGAAAUGCAAGUCGAGCGAGGUUAGAGAGCUUGCUCUCGAAGCCUAGCGGCGAACGGUCGCGUAACACGUAAGCAACCUGCCCUGAAGUUGGGGAUAGCCCUCCGAAAGGAGGAUUAAUACCGAAUGUGAACAAUUUACCGCAUGGUUUAUUGUUUAAAGCUUAAUGCGCUUCAGGAUGGGCUUGCGGCCUAUCAGCUAGUUGGUGGGGUAAUGGCCUACCAAGGCGACGACGGGUAGCUGGUCUGAGAGGAUGGUCAGCCGGACUGGGACUGAGAUACGGCCCAGACUCCUACGGGGGGCAGCAAUUAGGAAUCUUGCGCAAUGGGCGAAAGCCUGACGCAGCGACGUCGCGUGACCGAUGAAGUCUUUCGGGAUGUAAAGGUUUUUUUUGGGGGAAGAAGGAUGUGACGGUACCCCAAGAAUAAGCCCCGGCUAACUACGUGCCAGCAGCCGCGGUAAUACGUAGGGGGCGAGCGUUGUCCGAAUUCACUGGGCGUAAAGCGCGCGUAGGCGGCUUGUUAAGUUGGAGGUGAAAUCCCGGGGCUCAACCCCGGAACUGCCCCCAAAACUGGCAGGCUUGAGGUAUGGAGAGGGAAGUGGAAUUCCUGGUGUAGCGGUGAAAUGCGUAGAUAUCAGGAGGAACACCCGUGGCGAAGGCGGCUUCCUGGUCAUAUCCUGACGCUGAGGUGCGAAAGCUAGGGGAGCGAACGGGAUUAGAUACCCCGGUAGUCCUAGCCGUAAACGAUGGAUACUAGGUGUUAGUGGUAUCGACCCCACUAGUGCCGCAGCUAACGCAUUAAGUAUCC